AUACAGGGGGUGCGAGCGUUAAUCGGAAUUACUGGGCGUAAAGAGUACGUAGGCGGUUGCUUAAGUCAGAUGUGAAAGCCCCGGGCUCAACCUGGGAACUGCAUUUGAAACUGAGUGACUAGAGUUUAAGAGAGGGGAGUAGAAUUCCGGGUGUAGCGGUGUAAUGCGUAGAGAUCCGGAGGAAUACCAGUGGCGAAGGCGGCUCCCUGGCUUAAAACUGACGCUGAGGUACGAAAGCGUGGGUAGCAAACAGGAUUAGAAACCCCAGUAGUCC
rnacentral:rRNA from 1 species